rnacentral:rRNA from 1 species
CCAGAGAUGGAUUGGUGCCUUCGGGAACUGUGAGACAGGUGCUGCAUGGCUGUCGUCAGCUCGUGUUGUGAAAUGUUGGGUUAAGUCCCGCAACGAGCGCAACCCUUAUCCUUUGUUGCCAGCGGUCUGGCCGGGAACUCAAAGGAGACUGCCAGUGAUAAACUGGAGGAAGGUGGGGAUGACGUCAAGUCAUCAUGGCCCUUACGACCAGGGCUACACACGUGCUACAAUGGCGCAUACAAAGAGAAGCGACC